rnacentral:rRNA from 1 species
UACGUAGGGUGCAAGCGUUGUCCGGAAUUAUUGGGCGUAAAGAGCUCGUAGGCGGUUCGUCGCGUCGGCUGUGAAAACCUGAGGCUCAACCUCAGGCCUGCAGUCGAUACGGGCGGACUUGAGUACUGCAGGGGAGACUGGAAUUCCUGGUGUAGCGGUGAAAUGCGCAGAUAUCAGGAGGAACACCGGUGGCGAAGGCGGGUCUCUGGGCAGUAACUGACGCUGAGGAGCGAAGCGUGGGUAGCAAACAGG